CAAUUCAUGCAUGAUAAUUAAGUGUGCACUCUCAACCAACACACACAAAUCAAUGUAAUUCACAUAGAUAAGUAAAUUGAAUUCACAACUUAUGAAACGCAAUUAGAAGUAAUCAAAUCAUAACGCAAGCAUAAACAUGUAUUUUGAAUCCCCCCCUAGCCAAGGGGAGGUUUAGUUCCUCAUACGCACAAAACAAAGAGAAUUGAAUUUAAACAUUGAAAUCAAAGGAAAAGAAACACCUAGAAAUUCCAGCGACGCGAACUUGAAUUGCAUGAACUUCCGAGCUUCCUUCUCCUCCUCCUUGGUGCGGCAAGGGUCUAGGGACAGGUUUAGGACCUUAGGUGUAUGGAUGCAUAGUUAUGGAGGGAUGUAGUAGUGUUUAGGGGAAGGGAAUGGUGCGGCAAAGAUGUGGAGAGAGUUUGGACGAAUUUCUGGAGUGAAUUGUGAAUUGUGGUGAGUGGUCAUCUGAUUUAGGGGUUAAUAGGAGUAUAUAUAGGCACUUAAAACCCUAGGGUAAUCAGAUAUGGACUUGGAUAACCCAAAUCCACAAGGAAAUAGGUCUAAACAAUCAGAUUUUGCAAGGAAAAAGGCUCCUAGGUGCGGCUGGAUAGGGAUAAGGUGGAUAAGGCUUCUAGAAAGCCUUGCAAGGCAAGGAAAUCAGAUUUCUAGAAGCUAGGGUGCGGCACCAAUGUAGGGAUUAGGGAUAGGGCUUCUAGAAAGCCCCAAAACUGAUAGGAAAGUAGGAAACUCACGGCAAGGAGGGGAACACUCUAGAAACUUCUCAUUUGUGUUCUACAACACUUAGGAGUCCUUCUAGCAUUAGGAAAACAUGUGAAAAUCCUCCCUUGACUUGGAAUUCUUCUCCUUCUUCAUCUUGGAUUCCUUUUCCUUCUUGGACUUGGAAAACUUCUUUGUUGCUGAAACUUGAUGCCAUUUGGAUUUAACUUUCCUACUUCAAGUAGGAAACCUUGUUUGAGUAGGAAUCUUCAUCUUCUAGGAAUCCCAAUUCAACUAGGAAACCCAUUUUGACUAGGAAUCCUAAUUCAACUAGGAUUCCAUCUUCACUUAGGCGCUUUCCUACUUCGACUAGGAAACCUUGUUCAAGUAGGAAACAUCAUCUUCAAAUCUUCAAUUUCGUCCAUCCUUUUGGCUCCAAGCAUAUGACAUUCAUUCCAAGCUCAACUUUGCUCCAAAAGGCUCCAAAAUGCAUCCUUUUGCAUACUUUGCCCUUAGAACCUGAAAACACAUAAAACUAGCUUAAAAAGGCUACUUUACUAAGGAAAAACACUAUAAAUGCACAAGAACAAGCUAAACUAAGGCGCAUAAAUAUGCUCCUAUCAAUAUCAUAGAGUAUUCUCCCCCAAACAGUUUGAAGGUUAGAGAUCCCUUGUUGCGCAUUCACUUGCCUCCAUGGUUAAGUGGCUUAACCCCAACUAUGCCGUGGACACCCUCCU
rnacentral:lncRNA from 1 species